rnacentral:tRNA from 1 species
CAUGGUAGUUAGUUUAAACUAAAACAAAUGAUUUCGACUCAUUAAAUUCUGGCUCACCCCUAACUACCAAC